AACGAACGCUGGCGGCAUGCCUAACACAUGCAAGUCGAACGAGACCUUCGGGUCUAGUGGCGCACGGGUGCGUAACGCGUGGGAACCUGCCCUUAGGUUCGGAAUAACUCCCCGAAAGGGGUGCUAAUACCGGAUAAUGUCUUCGGACCAAAGAUUUAUCGCCUUUGGAUGGGCCCGCGUUGGAUUAGCUAGUUGGUAGGGUAAAAGCCUACCAAGGCGACGAUCCAUAGCUGGUCUGAGAGGAUGAUCAGACACACUGGAACUGAGACACGGCCCAGACUCCUACGGGAGGCAGCAGUGGGGAAUAUUGGACGAUGGGCGAAAGCCUGAUCCAGCAAUGCCGCGUGAGUGAUGAAGGCCUUAGGAUUGUAAAGCUCUUUUACCCGGGAUGAUAAUGACAGUACCGGGAGAAUAAGCUCCGGCUAACUCCGUG
rnacentral:rRNA from 1 species